rnacentral:rRNA from 1 species
UACGUAGGGGGCAAGCGUUGUCCGGAAUCAUUGGGCGUAAAGCGCGUGUAGGCGGCUUGGUAAGUCCGCUCUGAAAGCCCGGGGCUCAACCCCGGGAGGCGGGUGGAUACUGUCAAGCUCGAGUCCGGAAGAGGCGAGUGGAAUUCCUAGUGUAGCGGUGAAAUGCGCAGAUAUUAGGAGGAACACCGGUGGCGAAGGCGCCACUCUGGGCCGAAACUGACGCUGAGGAGCGAAAGCGUGGGUAGCAAACAGG